CAACAAAAGAAAAUUAAUUCAAAACCUUAUCAUCUUCAUAAUCUAAAUUAUAGCCAUCAAACAACAUUGAUGUACUAUUGAGUUGCUAAACUUUUCUUUAUUCUUGGUGGUGUAUAUGGAACUGAUCCCCGAGCAACCUUUUUUUCUUUUUUUUUUGUUAUGGCUGUCCUUUCGAGCAGUGAAUAGAUUGACAGUAUGAUCUGCAUUUAAUCCAACCAAAAUCCAUGCAUUUUCAUUCUUAUCAUAAUGAAAAUCAUCGUCAUUAACAUCAUCUUAUGAAUCAGUCAAUUUGUAUUCACCAGAUACCACUUCAUCUUCUUCAAGUCUGUUAUCUACAAUCCAACAGGUAAACGGAAUGGUCACAACACACAUUAUAUAACCUCAGAGAUUUUCAAGCAAUGAAAUGCAGACAUUAAGUUAGAUCAUAUCACCUUCAUGAAGCCCAAAUCCUCGAUAUAAAGCAACUAAAUAUGAUGUUGCAGUCCUAAAAAUGCUCAUUUUAAAUGAUGAACUAACUAAAAAUGGCUAGACUAUAAACUAUUAUUACUCAACAGCCAUUGCAGUACCUAAAUGCCACCGUAAAUGAUGAACUAACUAAAUACUGGAGGAGAAACUAACUAAGAUUCAUAAAAGAGUGCCUAAAAAUACUAAAAAAACGUGGGUCCUCUUCUAAGAACGUGAAAGAACGUGGACAUCAACAAAGAGCCCAUAAAUUCUUCAAUUACUGAUAUAAAAAUCAAGGUUAUGGACACAAUAUUAUACAUGACAUCCGAAAAUUCAUCAACUUUACUGUUGCCAAUCAUCUAACGACAUUGUGGGUCUCUCUUAAUCCUCAUUAUCAAAACACGAGUUUGGCACUAUUAUGGCUCAAUUUGAUUGUCCUUUUUCUGGGAUGAAUCUAGGUUUAUUAUAAAUCUGGAGGGUUUUCGAUUUCGGGAUCGAUUUGGAACAAUUUCACUUUGGCAUUCAACUGAUGGAAAUCUUGA
rnacentral:lncRNA from 1 species